GUGGUGUAACAACUUUGUCCACAGUUCAGGCGUUACUGGAUGCUUAUCUCUAUUUAAAUAAGAAAUUUACUAUCAAAUGUUGUAAUGAGCGAUAAUUACCCAAAGAUGCUUGUCGUUAGCUCGUGCUGUAAGGUCUUGGUUUAAGUUUCGAAUGAGCGCAACCUCGUGUUUAGUUGUCAUUGUUGAGUUUGAAACCCUAAACAGAAUGUCGAUAAUAAUCUGAAGGAAGAUGAGAAUUGCGAUCUCACAACGAUUAGCUAACCAAUUAAAACAAACGUACUCGGUUCAUAUUGCUAGCCGCAACUUGCACGAAGCCGAAAUCACUAGUGAUCGUCGCUCGACCAUACGACGAUUAGCUAAUCAAUUAAAACACAUGUACUCGGUUCAUAUUGCAUGUUGCAACUUGCACGAAGCCAGAAUCACUAGUAAUCGUCGCUCAAUCAUACGACAAU
rnacentral:ncRNA from 1 species